AUCACGAGGUCAGGACAUCGAGACCAUCCUGGCUAACACGGUGAAACCCCGUCUCUACUAAAAAUACAAAAAUUUAGCCGGGCGCGGUGGCGGGCGCCUGUAAUCCCAGCUACUUGGGAGGCUGAGGCAGGAGAAUGGCGUGAACCCGGGAGGCGGAGCUUGCAGUGAGCGGAGGUUGCGCCACCGCACUCCAGCCUGGGCGACAGAGCGAGACUCCAUCUCAAAAAAAAACCAAAAGGUAAACCCAAGGGAACAAGAACAGUGAAGGAACCAAGGCCUGGGAUUGCCUUCAGUCCUCCGCUCUCCCUCUCAGGCUGCAGUGUCGGGAGCAGCGGGCGCCACCGCUUUGCUGUAACCACUUUACACGACUGCGCGGCACUCACUGGCCUUCCCCCGGCACAGACAGCGGAUUCGCCCUGCUCCGGAAACUCCCGGCUCUUUCCGUGGCCCGAGACUGAGUUCUGUCUGCUUAUCAGGAAACCAAAGUGGCGUCUGAAGAUUAGUGUUUUUCUAAUUAGCAGAGACUUUACUUCAGUGAAACGGAACUGUUUAGAAACCCGGGUGAUUUUCAUGUUGUUCUGUGGGGAGCUAUUUUGCUAUGACUUCUGGCCGGUGUACUUUAUUUUAAAUUUAGUUUUGAAUAAAUCAUGCAUCAAAAUUUGAA
rnacentral:sRNA from 1 species